GUUUGCUGCAUUAUCUUCCCUGGUGCAGAAGUUAAGCUGACUGACAUCAGCGAUAAAGGGGUGCAGGAUCCAGAAAAGAGAAGCCAGUAGUGAACACUGACCGUGGACAACAGAUGAAACAGACAGACGAACUAUUGCAAGAAGGUGUGGAUACAACAGUACAUUGAGAGCCGAGAAGGAAGGACUGUGCUGGAGUACUAAUUCUGAACAUGGCACUAGGUCUUUCAUGAACCCAAGGAGCUGAUAUAUUUCCAGAAACCCACCCCAUGGUACAUGCUCAGAUGGGAAGGGCUUGAACCACCCAACUAGAAGCAGAACACAGACAGAUGUUUUCCUCAGGAUGUUGCUAAGAAGAAUGGAGAUAGUAAGUCUAAAUCAGGAUCUGGCAACGGACAUUCGUGCUCAUCUCCUGCGAGGAUGCGGAGGAAAUCCAGACACGCCAGCCCUUCUUUUGAGGUGACAGAUG